UGGUGAGUAACCAUCAAUUUUUGAACUCUAUGGGCUCCAAAUUGAGUUUAUAAUAAUUCCCUCUUUCAAAACUGUUUCUGCUCCUUCGUUAUUAGGAGCUGAAUGUAGGGCCUUGCCGUUGCAAGCAGGUGCUGUAAUAUGAAAUGCACGUCUAGUCCCCCUCCUUGGUUGUCUCUCUAUGAUAUGCCAUCCACAUCCUUUCAGUUGCCUAAACCAGAAACUGGAUCUCAUCCCUUGACUUCAUCCACCCUCUCUAUUUCUAAUCAAUGUUUAGGUUCUGUUGACUCCGUUUCCAGAAGUCGCUCUUGGGUCCGUCCACUUCUUUGCAUCCUCACUGCCAGCCUCUCCAUCUGUGCUAGCAUCAUCUUCCAGCCAGAUUUGUGUAAUGCAAUAGCUUUCUAAAGUAUCUUUCUGCAUUCUAUCUGAAUCUCAACACCAUGCAAUCAAUCCUGGCAGCACUAUUUAGUGGAUCCCAAUGCCUCAGGAGGAAAUCUACACAUUAUAGCAAGAGCUAUAAAGCUCCCCAAGCACACUCUAGGUUGGUUUACACUGUUAUUAGGAACCUUCAAGGGUACAUGUUCCAGCAUACAAAAACUGUGUUAUACUGAACAGACAUGCUAUAGCCUUAAACUUUGAGCUUUUGAGACAGGAUAUCUUUCUCUAAGACAUUUUAUGCCUCUUCUGCUCUGUCACUUGGUUCUCUGUCAUAUUUCCCUACUUGAUCACAUCCAUACCCCAGGAAACCCGUCUUAAUCCCCAAGGGCAGAGUAGGCUGGAGAUGUCCCUUUUAUAUAUCCACAAUGCUUCUUCUCUUUGUGCUACCAUUCCUGGCUUACUGUCUGUUUCCCCUAUAAACUCAGAGCUCCAUGAAGUAGGGUUUUCGUCAGUUUUGUUAAAUGCGUAUCCUUGUUGCCUAGCAGUUUCUGGUCCAAUAAAUCUUUCCUGAGUGAAAGAGUAAGUGACAGUGGGUAAAAGCCAAACUGAGAAAGCAUGAAUUGUUUCAUGGGCUGAGUAAAUACGUAGGGUAUAAUUUAACAAUGUUUACUUCUUGAACAUAGAAUCCAACUCCUUCCUUUUCCAUUUACUGAACCCGAGCUCCCAGGUUCCACCCUCAGUGAAGUUACUAGACUCCCCAAUUCCUUUGUGUGUCCAUAUUCCAAUCAGACCCUCUGUGGGAUUUCUAGGCAGUGAUUUUCUCUGUCCCUGUGUACUUGGCUGCAGACUGCUGAGACUGCAGACUGUGUCUAGUUCGUUCAGUGUUCCCAGCACUAAGCCUAGUAAAUGUUCAUUAAACAUUGCAAACAAAUAUGGGGAUGGAAAGGGAACAUGCAUUUUAAGAUGUUCAUUGAAGCAAUGAAGAUGCUACUGAUGGGAGGAAUGAGUCAUUUGCAGCCGGGAUGAGGGAAAGCAGUAGGAAGGGAAGGUGACACAAAGGAAUGGGGUGACUGUUGCCAGGGGAAGUUGGCUCUAGGCAAGUGAGAAAAGGGAUACUUGGGGCGCUGUGGAAGGGACUCAGAGACCUUCAGAGUGACAGAGAAGACAUGCAGAUGGGUGGAGGACUUGACCCUGGGAACAGAAGAGUUUGGGGACAAAUGGAACAAGAAAGGCAGUCCAGAGAGCUUAUGCCCUCACCGGCCCAGCCCUCCUUUGCCCUUCAUUCAGAGGUUCCUGUCGCUCUCUCUCCUUGGUACUGGCUCUGUGAACUGGAUGUUAAAGGAAAAGAAAGCUAGACCUGCUGACAAGAAGAGGUCCUUGUUUCCCGGCUGUGUGAUGCUGAGCUCGGGGAUGAUCUGAGUAGCUAUGGCAGAGCAAAGAUUUGAGAUUGCAUUCUACCCUCUCUACCCACAAUUCCAAGCUGUGAAAGCACUGUCUUCAGUACAGUGACUGGAACUGCUCCACCACUGAAGGACCCCAUAUGGUGACACCACACCCCUCAUCCUGGAAGAACA